rnacentral:rRNA from 1 species
UACGUAGGGUCCGAGCGUUGUCCGGAAUCACUGGGCUUAAAGGGCGCGUAGGCGGGCCCUCAAGUCCGGGGUGAAAUCCUCCCGCUUAACGGGAGAAGAGCCUCGGAGACUGAGGGCCUCGAGGGAGGUAGGGGCGUGCGGAACUAUGGGUGGAGCGGUGAAAUGCAUUGAUAUCCAUAGGAACUCCGGUGGCGAAGGCGGCACGCUGGACCUCUUCUGACGCUGAGGCGCGAAAGCCAGGGGAGCAAACGGG